rnacentral:rRNA from 1 species
CGAGCGCACCCUUGUCGUUAGUUACCAUCAUUAAGUUGGGCACUUUAACGAAACUGCCGGUGACAAACCGGAGGAAGGUGGGGACGACGUCAAGUCAUCAUGGCCCUUAUGAGCAGGGCUACACACGUCAUACAAUGGCCAGUACAAUGGGCAGCCAACCCGCGAGGGGGAGCUAAUCUCUAAAAGCUGGUCGUAGUCCGGAUCGCAGUCUGCAACUCGACUGCGUGAAGUCGGAAUCGCUAGUAAUCGCGGAUCAGCAUGUCGCGGUGAAUACGUUCCCGGGUCUUGCACACACCGCCCGU